AAAUGCUUAUUGGUGGCUGAAGGUUCCACAUCUCCUGUGUGGCUGCUUGGUGUCUUUGCUCUGGGACUCUUCAAUCUGAGGUAAGUGCACUGAACAUCCAAUUUUGCAUUAUUACUGUGGAUGAUGCUCCUAGCUUGCCCAAAAUUGCGCCUGGAAGUACUUUAAAGUGAAAAGUUGUGCUAUGAAGCCGAGUGCCAUGAUGUGGGAGGUUUGUCAUUCACUUUGCUCACAACUUGGUGGCCUCCUGUUUGUUGUUGCUUCUCUAAAACAGUGCCAAGCUGUCAGAGAGAAUCUUUUCUUCUGUCCUCUGCUAUCACCAGCUUCUAUCUUGGAUCUUUGGAGAGCUUGGCUAUGUUAUCCUAUGUUAUCCACAUGGAGGAAUGAAAAAUGCAGAAAUGUAGAAUGCCAAAGAGGGCAGUGGCUUGCAGUCAGCCAUGAGCCAGAGCUCAUGCUAACAAACUUGGAAUGCUUUUCUGCUUUAUUCUUUGUUGGGAGCAGUCCUUCGAAGCAGCUCCCUGGAUGGGGCACUCCUAUGUGGAGCCCUUCUGGGGAGGGCUGUUGGUUUCUGCCUGAUUUCCUCACCUGUGUGUGCCCGUGGUGCGGAGCAGUUUGUGCCUGGUGGUGCAGCUGUGCUUCGUGGGGGGGGGGGAGUACUGCCGUCCUCGUGCUGCUCCUCUGAAACGCGGUCAGACUACCUGGAAAAGCUGAACCUUUUGGUGACUUCGUGUGUCUGCUGAGGGCUGCUGCUGGGGUCCUGAGCGGGCAGUGCCGGGCUGUGGCAGAAUUCACGAUUUCAAAAAACCUUAUAUCACCUCUUUCAACAAAAAAAAAAAGCACUUAUAGAAAAAGGACGCCCAAAAGUCCGUCGUCCUUGCCUUAUUGCCGAAAAUAGAUAGAAUCGGGUGAACGAAGACGGCACGAACAAAAGGAGGGGGGGUGACCCGUGUGCCCCGGGCUGCAGAGCCGCGGCCCCACGUCCUGCAAUGACAGCGACUACAGAGACCGGGGGGGCACGGGGGGGAGGGAAACGAAAGAAAACCUUAAUAUAAACAGCUAGGCUAUGGUUAGGCUCCUACGAGAUACACAAAGAAUUAUGUCUACGUGGCUACGAGACUAUGUCAAAACACUACCAAAAAAUGUGGGUCGAGUAGGUUUAAAAAGGGGGGGGAAAACCCAUUGAGAAAAUAAAACGAACAAGAAAUGGAUUUUAUAUACAUACUUUUAAAAGCUGUUGUUUUUAUAGUACAGCAGAUUCAUGAGAUGAUGAGAGAGAUUUUUUAAACAGCCCGAGUCCGUCGAGUGCCACCUCCAGGUCGUUUGCUGUUGGUGAAGAUGUAGUGCUGAAGUCUGAUGAUGUCACCUCACCGUGGGACCGCUCAGAAACUUCGCCCUGUUUUGCCCGGACAUCCAGAGAGACUCUGCGAGGAGAGGAGCACACAGGACAGGGAGGGUCAGCGGGGGCCGUGGAAGCAGACCGCGCCUUCAGGCACAGGAGAUGGUCAGUAUUUCCCCAAGGGGACAACGUCCACCUGGGCACACCGCCACGCUCGGGAGUUUCGUUCUAAGGGGAGGCGCAACACCUGGCGCUGCGGCUGCUGCCUGCAAUGAACGCUGCGUGCAGCCAGCAGGGAGAUGAGCGGUGAGGCCUGCAGGCGGCCCCGGGCCACCCCCACCGCUCCAAGUGCUGCACGGCACGAGGGAUGCACGGCCCGGGAUCUUCAGGCCCGGUGGUCCUGGAGGAGUUAAUAACAAGGCUCAUUUCCUCCUCUCAAAAUCUAUUUUCAUUAGUAACGAGCAACAGUAAAAGCACUUUCUGUUUUUAAGUCAUUAAUGGCUUGAGUUUUAAUACUGGCCGGUAAAUGAUGGUUAUAGUUUGAUGUGCUGUGGUAAGUGUAAAAUGAUUACAAUAUAUUAAUCUGAUGAGCACUGCCCUCACUGCAGCAUUAUUAGUUUGAAUUACGGCCUUCUGCUCAAACCUCCCGCGUGCUCAGCCUGGCGGCCCACGGAACACAGCGGGUUCUGACACAUCAACCCGAGAACGCACACGGCGACGUGCAGUCAGUGAUGGGGAUUAAAGCAGGAGUGCGUGGGCACCUCUCUCCUUUCCCACAACAACAGUGCCUGGCGGACCGAAUUGAUCCAUUACAGAAUUUCAGAUAAUCUUGUGCAUACAGGGAGAUGAAGAAUAAAUAGCAAACCCCUUUAUCCGCCAGUAGUUACCUAUACAUCUAUCUUCAUGCAAUUUAAAGCCCCUGAAUGUGUUCCACAGGUCCCAUCCCCCGGACUGCCUACGGCCCUGAUGGCACACUGCGAUCGGACAGCGCUGAAGGAUGUCACAUCACAUCUGUGUGCCUGGAUCACGAGCUCUAACGGUGAAUCCAUGCACUCAAUGGGUGCGCCUCUCCGUUUUCACUGACUGACUUUUCUAAUCUAUGCUAUUCUCAGAGUAAGAAUAUUUGUUUGCAAAGAUGGAUGUGCCAAAGGCCAAAAAAUAACAAAAAAAUUAAACAUUUAAUUAACUUGAUCUCAGUUCAAAGGGUAGGAAACUGGCAGCGAUCCAAGGAUGCAUUACUUAGGUAAUGUCUUUAAUUUAAUUUGCUUAGCUUUAAUUUUUUUUAAUCUUGAUAAUUGCUCUAUGGUUACUAGUUACAACGUUAUCUUCUAGCUGUGAUAUUUGGUACAGCCCUUGAUUAAGUAUGAUGGUUCCUCUGUAAUAAAGCAAUGGAGCUCAUCUGUUUUUAGCCGGGUGCAUUCAUAGCAAAUCUCCACUCCUGGUGGUGAUGGCACUUGGCUGUUCCCAAAAAGGGGUUUAGGGCUCCUGAUCUGCCUUCCAGUUUCCAACCCAUGAAAUUGAUUUAAAUAAAAUAAAUCACAGAAAGGAAUGAUUAAAGGCCAAGGAAAGACAGAAUGAAGAUAAAAAAAAAUUGUUCACUUAAAGUAAAUAUAAGGGAAAUGGCAGUUUAGCACAAAGUACAAAUGGUAUAUACUGUAAUACCUCCAAGUGAGAUGGCAACCAACCAUGUGUAACGUUUCAAUGGUAUCCAUUUGUAAAAGCCGUUGCAAUCAAAGGUCCCUAAAAUUGUACAAUUGUUAAGUUCAUCAGUGCUCUAUACAUGGGAACAGAUGAUUAUUAAUUUUUGGCAAGAAAUUAUCAAAGGACUUGAAAGACUGUGUUGUCAGCAUGAAUAUGGAAUAUGCAUUUCCAAAAGCUGUUCUGGUCACCAACGACUGUGCUGAACUCUACAGGGACCUUUCCAAGACCAUCGCCUUCUCAUUCCCCCAGUUACAAAUACCAACUCUGGGUCUUCCCUUUUUUGUUUUUAAGCCAGGUUAGUAAAUGGAGUGUGUUAAAUAAAUAUAAAGGUAAAAAGGGCUACUGGAGCCCUUGCAGUUACCAGGGUAUACCCAGUAUGAAGGGUAUCCCCUGAAUUAAGAGGCUACCAAUCUGAAAAUCCAAUACUAAUCAGCCUUUGAAGAAGUCUUAGUGCAGACAAAUCACGACAGCACGGCCUGUCUCGUGCAUCUCAUUACUUGAAAGAUCUGGAUGUCACCGAGGUUAAAGCACCCAAAUUUUCCACAACAGGUGGAAAGUGGCAAUAGGGCUCUCAGAAGGGGUAGUCCGAAUUGGUGCAGCUCUCUCUCAGCAGAAUAAUCACAUUCUGCGUUCUGUACCCAAAUUGAUCUGAAGAGGCUGCCGUGUCCUCUGUGUGGCCGUAUGCACAGCAGGACCAGAGCGGAAUGCAGAGCACGAGGGCUCUGCUGGAGGGCAGCAGCUGCUGUGUCUCUUUGGGUACCGGUUGUUUGUGCAGUGAAAACAAGACCACUUCAGAUACUUUGUCUGCACUGUGCUCCCACUCCCCCAGCUCAUCCAAUGUGGUCAGAGAACAGAACUGUCGUUUUAGCUUGGAGAAUCCCAGGGGGGUUCUCUAUACUUCGACAUGUUUAUUUUAUGAGAGGAAAAGAUUUCUCAGCAUUUUACGGAAAAAGGGAAAACAGCGUAGGCUGCUGGUUUUCUGUUUUGGAGACUGACAGCCGCUAAAGCCGUUUAACCACAUUCAUGCUAACACACACAGGUAAAACAGUGCAAUCUGAAAAACAGCAUGCAGCUUUGUUAAGCAAAUUUCCAUCGCCCGUAAUUAGUGAGCCUGCAGAACCAUGCAGCAUGACAGAAAUACGUUUCCAGUGACUUGACAACACAACAGAAGUGACUUACUUGUGACCUGCACGUUUUAAGGACUGUUAGCAAUCCCCUAAGCCACCUCACGGUGCCCGGGUGAGGCAGCGCCCACCUCCCGUGCCCACGUCCUCUGCUGCACACCGAUGCCGUUUAGGGCAGAGGCUGGAAGCUCCAAGCCCAGAUGGCGCUGCUGCUGGGACACAGGCAGGCCUGGUGUCCCAGGGAACCCUUCUCCUGCUCUGGGUGGGAGGAGAGGCCAGGAACACUGCCUGCAAGCGGCAUGCCAGCCUCAGUGGGCUGUCUGACUGAUGGGAAGACCACCUAGACAAGCAGAAGCUUGUAUUUGUUAAACAGGGCCUUUCAAAACACGCCGUAUCUGUGCAGCAUAAGGCUCAGACAAGUGUCUCUGGUCUGCAUCGCAACUCCAGUGGCUCUGGGACAGCAGAGUGCAGCUCUGCAAGAGACCUCAGCAACUGCAGAGGGUUAUGCACAGUGCUGGAGGCUACAGGACUGGGCACCACCCGCUCGUCAUACAGUCAUCGAAAAAGAUACCAAACCCCAUCGUGUGACUAAAUACCGCCCCUCCCGGCACGCGGUACUCACGGCGAUCCCGUGGCUGAAGCCGGAGCCCGGCUGUGGGCUGGCAGCACUUAUGUAGUUGCCGACGCCGGAGUCCUGGCUGGCUGUGCCGUAGAGGUCUGCGACGGGCCCAGGGCUGUUGGCCCCAGGGAAGCCUCCGGGCCGGGCUGGGUUGGAGCCUGCCGGGGAAGCGGGUGCGCCAAAAUUCGGUUGAGCACUGUAGCUAUUCAAGACUGGUGUGCAGAGAAUAAAGCUGGGUAUGAGGCCAGACGCCGGGCAUGCACCGUUAUUACAAAGCCAAACACCAGAAUAAACAGCCUAGGCCCAACUUCUAACACUUAACCAAGGCCAUGCGAUAGGAGAGCAAGUACUGAAUAAUAGUCAGCCCGUACUACUACGAAGCUUAGAGCUCCAAAAUAUAUAUAUGAAUAUAUAUAAAAAAAAAAGAACAAUCAUUCAACACACUACUGCAACCAGAGACUGUAGGUGCUCAUUUUCACCAAAUUAUCACAAAAUAUAAUAGAUAUUUUUCAACAUCUGACUUGAUGCUCAUGCAGUAGUAACAAGUUCUCUAGGUCUGGGCACGCCGAGACAGCAUUCACAUCCCAUGCAAACUACAAAGGAACUAAUUUGAGACUACACAUUGUGGUAAUAUUGAUAUUAAAAUGUUGACAGCAAAUAGCUUCGAUCACAUCUAGUGAAAUCGUUUUGGAUCCAUUUGAUACUUUGGAAAAAAACCCGCCCUUUUAAAUUGGUAAGAUGUAGAAAUAGCUCAUCAAUAGUAGAUUUUUGGUUUUUUUUAAUGGUAUGGAAUGGAACAGUUUGGGUUUAUUCUUUGGGUAUGACCAAGGAGAGUAUUGUUUUAUUUAAUUUGUCUUUCUUUAGAUUUGGAGAUCGAAGACCUACCUUCAUCUCCAAAACCAUGCUGGGGGGACAUCAACCAAAAUUAAACAAAUAAAUAAAGAUCCAAAGCAAAAAAAGAAUUCCAGAGGGUGUAUGGCAACUCACCUCCUAAUGUGGAAGUAAAAGAAAAUUUUAUUUUUUCCUCCCUUCACAUUUUUUUUUUUUUUGAGACAGAAAAACAAUGUAAACAGGAAUGAUACUGAAGAAUAGAUUUGGAUAUUAAAGCAUGUUAGAUGAUCAGGCUUCUGCCAUUCCUCACUGUUGUUCUUGGAUGUGAAGUUUAUGAGUAAGAGGAUUCAAUGCGAAAGAAAAGUCAGUGGCGGGGAGAGCGGAUGGGGAUGGCGCUGGAAGCGGGAGAGGCCUGCCAAGAUGGCGCUGCCAACACGGCACUACUGACCUGGUGCUGCUGACCUGGCUUUGCCGACCUAGUUCUGCCAACACAAUGCUGCUGACCUGACGCUGCCAACACGGCACUGCUGACAUGGCAAUGCCAAUGGAGCACUGCCUACAUGGCGCUGCUGACCUGGCACUGUGGCCUAGUCGGCCACACUCUCACAGCCCAGCCCUGAACACCAAAACGGCCCCUAAGGAUGCCCUGAAUGCAGGGUCUGACCAGCCACAACAACCACACAGCCAGAGCAUCACCACAACCUGCCUGGAGCCAUGCCCACAGGCACAACUGGCAGCUUACAGCACCUCUGUGCUCAGUCUGCACCACAACUCCCUCAGCCUCCUCCUCCAACUGCAGCUCCCUGCCUACCUCCGCCAUGCACCUAAAGGGUUUAUAGCAUUUGACAGAGUGCAAUAAGCCCUGCCACCAGUCUGCGGGUCAACACAGAGCAAGGUUUAUUGGGGACAAACAGCAUUGUAGGGCAAGUCCCGCCUGCCCCGCAGGAGUGGCCCACAGCAAGGCUCCCGAGAUGCAAACUGGGCUGCAGACCAACACUACAAAAUGCUGCAGCACACACAUCAGUGAGAAAUUGGGGCACCUCAUUUGCUGCUGUGGUUCCCUGACCAUCCCCACCGCGCUGACGGCACGCGUCCCUCAACCCCAUGGAUUAACCAGUCAAAAACACAGCAACUGUUGGCUCUGCAACGACAGGGAAGUAAAUGUUGCAAAGUAAACGGUUUUAUGUGGCUGUAAAGUGGUAGCAGAGGAAAAUAAGUAGGUCAUCUAAGCUGGCAAGUUAAAAGUAAUAAGGCAUGAGAGAGUAAACAGAUUAUUUUGGAAUUCACUGGCAAACACAGUACCUUUUUUUAUUAUUAAAGAUUAAAUGUCAAGAUAACAUUUGGCCUUCUCACUCAUGAAGAAAAAUCUCCAGCUGAGAUGUUCAAAAGCCCUUUAUUACUAUAAGCUGGUGCUUUUUUCUCUCCUUUUCUUCCUUCUGGUUGAACAAAAUGGAUGUGGGCGUUCCGGCCCCGCGCACCGCUCUGCGGGCAGGCCAUGCCCUGCACCUGGCGGGGACACAGGGACACGUUCUUUAGAGAUGGAGGGUGCCAAAGCAUAGAGGAUGAGUACAGCUGCAGACAGCCAUGGCAUGAGGCACAAGGGGUGAGCAGGGCUCUGCAUGGAGCCCACGUGCAGCUCCCAGCCCACAGUCCUGCAGUGCAGCCCUGUGCCUCGCAGGGCUGCCUUCCUGCAGCGUGUGGCUUGCUGGGAAAAAGAAAUUGGUGCAAAUUGCCCCAGUAAGAAGAUGCGGUCCCCAAAUCACACGGCUCUCAUCUAGAGGUGCACAGAGGAUUUAAUUAAAAACCAAAGUUGGGGUGCAAGGCCAUAUUUAUCUCUGCUGCAGCCCACUGAUGGCAACGGCAUGUUGGGGAUGGCACGAACAAGCCUGUAGAAUGCCUCAAGAUUUAAUUUUGAGAUACAGUGAUCAAAUAUUACAGCAUUUCAAAACGGAACUGAGCUGAGGCUGGGCUGGCAGCGGGGCAUCCUGCAGCAGCUGUGUGACACAAGGGCUGCACUUCGCUUUGCACCACGGCAAGUGGGAAUCGUGCACUGCAGCCGGCCCCGGUGAGACGCAUGGGGUAGGGCUGCCGGGGUGCUGCGAGUCGGAUGUCCUACGAAUGAACACCUCUGUGGCCCUGCACAGAUGAUAAGGAGAUGUACUCAGCCUGUCCUGAACCUCACUGAGAGAGCAAACCGAACAGCAAGGAGGCAGAGCGAGAUGCUCCAUCCCCUAAAGCAGCCCAGCCCCAGCCAUUUACAGCUCCAAGAAAUUCAGGAAUACCAGCUUGCAUACGUGCGGAAGGAGCUGGCAGCUGUUUAUUCAACGUCCUUCUGAUUGUAGGUAUGUAAUGUAAGAAAAAGGCAAUUUUCCAUCUCCUGAGCAUCAAUUUGGUACUACAUCCUGAUGAUCACAGAAGUGGCUGCAGACGAACGUGUGACACAAAAGCACGCCCACCGCUCUGCUCGCACGGCUCCGCGGGGCGCGGGGUGCCCAGGCAGCGCUUUGUGUACCGCCUGCUAACAGCUGUUUGCAGAACUUCACAGAAAGGGCUGGAAGCUUUUACAGAGCUGACACUUUGCUCCAGACCCGAUAAAUGAAAUAGAAAAGCUCUCAUAAUUACCAGGAGACUAAACAGUCCUCAAAAAGCCGUAUUUUAACGAUUCACUCAGCCAUGGUGAGUUGCUAAAUAUUUGUCUUCUUACAAUAGCUGCACUGAAGCGCACCUAGAGCUGGAGGCAGUUUUACGAUCGCUUUGAAACAACAGCAAAGGGACCUUGAAUGACUUUCCCAACAUGCAAAAUGCGGUGCGUUUGGGUAAGAAAUGCCUGAAAAGAAAUCUGUUGUACACAAACCUGCGAGUAAUCUGAGACUAAAAUGAAGCAGAAAACAAAGCAGAAAACUCCCCUGACUGUGGAUGCCACUUCAGUCCUCAAAGAAAAAUUAAGACUCUGUGGAGAUGCAGAUCUGUAGGACAAAGCUGUCAGCUCACAGAAGCUAUCCAAGAGCUGCGGGUGCUGUUGGGUGCAGAGGCACAGAGCACUGAGAUUAAUGCACCGUGGGCUGCAGAGCACCCGAGACGUUCCCCUGGUCAGACAUCCUGUAGACAGAGCUGGGAAUAACUAAGGGUGGAUUUUGGGAAGUGCACUGCUGGCAAACUGGCAUGGACUGCGCUGUCCUGGGGGAGAGCAGCAAGCUACCCACUGCUCUGGUCAGUGCUGGAGCAGAGCCCGACUGCUUUCCUGUGGGUCCCAGCGGGCGAUGCCCUCUCAUCUCAAGCGCUCAGGAAGCCGUGGCAGCCACCAUACCCGUUUCCAGCAAGAUCGGAAUUCAGCUCCAAUUUAUCAACUGACUGCACAGGGAACCCAUCCUGCACUGGAUAUUUUCACAGCCCUGAAACUAUGAUUUUGUGCCUCCAACACAAGGGCUUGCACUAUGCAGGAUUUUCAGCCCCAGGAGGGAUGCGAAAUGCAUUUGAUGUGUCAGUAAGUCACAGCUAAACAGCCUCAACCUUCCCCAACCCCAGAUAUCCCCAUCUUCUGGGUUGGGGAAGCUCUUCCUACACCUAAGGAAAUCAAGAGACAGCAGCCUAGAGAUGCAGCAGUGAUAAGGACACUUCUUGCAGCGUUCGCUUCCCUUUGAAUUUGCUGUGCUUUUCCUUACAGAGAAGACCCCGAUCCCUGCACACUCACUGCACUCACUCCCUGAGCACUGCUCUGUCUGAGCAGAGAACCUACUGAGUCUUCUGCUAAAAUAAAUGUCAAUUUGGAGCUAAUUUUAAAAUGCAUCUGUAACCUCAAGACAGCACUACACUGAGCAAGGUUCUUUUAUUACUAACUCACCUUGGCAUCCUUCCACAGAGCCCUCUGUACGCACUGAAUGUGUGCGAGGCACUUCUCAAUGCAUUGCUGCAGCACGGAGCUGCAUGAGGGGCACAGAGCAGAGCCAGCAGCCCUGGCUGAGGCCAUGGGCUGAGAGCUGCACACCCUAUGGGGAGCAGGCGGAGCUCUGGGACCGCGCUUAUCGAGCGCCCGCUCCUGCAAACUGCCGUGUUAGCACAGACCUGGCUCGUCCAUUAAUCUGCAUGCAACAAGAAAGGUCACCACUGAAAGAUAAACUCUCUUCUGAUGAACUCUUGAGAAAUUUCUAAGUCAGGAUUCAUUAUGACAUUUGCCUUAGCAAGCUGUGCAUUGCACUAACGAGGAUUCAGAUGCCUCUCUGGGAGAGGAGAGGGAAACAGAUGGGUAAAGCACAGCAAGCUGGAUGCUGAAAUCCCACCCAAAUAAACUCAAGUCAGUGAAGGUAAAGUAAUCAGUAAUCACCACUGUGCUUGUUUUACAACUAUUCUUCACAGAUUUCAAAAGUUGUAAAAAAAAAAGCAAUGCUAAGAACAGCGUGCAGCCCAUGGCUGCAUUCCCCACCACUGCACAUGCACAAGGAAAACCUCAACUUUGCAAGAAACAACUCCAUGAUUUACUGCGUUUCCUCCUUGAGAAGAGGCAGAAUACUUCAGGAUGAAAUACAGCAGCCCGUUAUCGCAGCCAGAAACACAUCUCCUCGUGGAGAGAGCAGCUGAGCACUGCCUGCAGCCGCUUCUCACCCACAGCCGACCCCACGGCCGUCCCCUCCCGCAGACACCGGUGUAAAUCGGCCAGCGAGCACUAAUGCAGCACUCCUGAGAACUGCCUAAUGACAGUCAAUCACCUCCCGGGGAGGGCUCGUAUUCCCUGGGCCACAAUCAGUGCUGCUGAGCUAAUCUGCUUCUGGCAUUGCUGGAAGCAGAGCUCGGCCACAGGCGCUGGUGGAGGUGCUGCUCAGAGCAGGUGAUGCUGCAGAACACAGCACAGAGAGCAGAGCAACACGUGUAAUAAAAAAAAAAAAAAAGAAAG